UACUAAAAACUAUUUAAUUAAUGUAACGAGAGUAAUGGCUUUAUAAAUCAAAAGGUGGUAAACUAAAAUUCUAUGUAAUACAUACAAAAGGUGAAAAAUAUGGAUAAAAUUUUUAAGUUUGUUAAUGUUAUGAUAAUCAUUUUUUCUCUAUUUAUUGUUUCUAUAGAAAGUCAGCGUUCUGGUCCCAUUCCAUGUGUUCGUGAUCGUGAUUGUCCAAUUUCUAUCUCCCAGGUUCACUCACGUAAUACAAGAAUGAGAUGUCGUAAAGGUUAUUGUGUAGGAGCAUAAUUAUAAAGCUCCUAAGGUUAUAUGAUUGUCAAACUCAAAAGAAUACACAAUGCACUACGUGAAUACUACAUGAGUUUUUAUUUGGUUAUUGUGAUCACCAAUUAAAUAAAUUUUCUUUUAGCUUUUCUAAUUUUACGUACCUUGUUAGUUUUGUACUUUAAGAUGAUGCGAGUGAAAUGAAAUAAUAAUGAAAAAUAUUAUCAAUUGUUUCUUCA